UUAAAAGGGAUCGUUAGCUGGGUUAAGAACGUCGCGAGACAGUUUGUAUGAUAUCUACUAGGUGUGUUGUUGUCUGAGUGGAACAAGUUUCUAGUACGAGAGGAACGGAACUUGGGUGCCUCUAGUGAGCAGUUGUCAUUGGCAGGCUGCAUAGCCACGCACUAUAUGGAUAAGAGCUGAAUGCAUCUAAGCUCGAAGCCAUCCGCAAAACGAGAUAACUAAUACCGUCGAAGAAGACGACGUUGAUAGAGUUCUUGUGUAAG
rnacentral:rRNA from 1 species